UUUCCGUAGGUGAACUGCGAAGGAUCAUUAAUAAUUUUUUUUGAAAUAAAAAAAAAUAAUAAUCAUCCUACCCUUGUGAAUUUGUUUGUUGAAUAAUUUUUAAAAUUAUUUAUGUCUAUCCAAGUUGGAAGUUGUAAAAGACUAGAAGACUUGGAGCGGCAUAAAUAAAUUUAAAGACUUUUUCUAAAUAACUUUGUAUUCAUUUGUCUAAAUAAUUUUAUAAUAUAUAAAAAAACUUUGACAAUGGAUCUCUUGGUUCUCGCAACGAUGAAGACGCAGCAAAAUGCGAUAAGUAAUGUGAUUGCAGAAUACGUGAAUCAUCGAAUCUUCGAACGCAUAUUGCACUUUUUAGUUAUAAAAAGUAUGUCUGUUGAGUAUCAGUAAAUAUUCUCAUAAAUUUUAAUUUUAUGGUUAUGAUGUUUUACAACGAUAAACAGUUGUUUCACUUUAAAUUGAAUUUUUGAAGAAAUUCUAAUUCAAAUUAAUUGGAUAAAAUUUCCCGUAAAAGGAAUAACUAUACAAGUUUAAUAAGAAUUUAGUGAUUUCUUUUAUGAAAGGAAAUUUAUUAAUAACUUGAUCUCAAAUCAGAUAAGAUACCGCUGAACUAAGCAUAUCAAUAAGCGGAGGAAAAGAACUAACAAGGAUUCCCUAGUAACGGCGAGUGAAGCGGAAGAGCUCAAAUUUGAAAUCUUAAAGGUUUCCUUUACGAAUGUAGUUUAAAGAAGUGUUUCUGUUGAGUUUUGGUAAAAGUUCUUGGAAUAGGACAUCAUAGAGGGUGAGAAUCCCGUAUUGACCUUUACUUUCAACUUUGUGAUACACUUUCAAGAGUCGGAUUGUUUGGGAAUGCAGUCCAAAUGGUGGUAAUUUCAUCUAAAGCUAAUAUUGGCGAGAGACCGAUAGCGAACAAGUACGUGAGGGAAAGAUGAAAAGAAUUGAAAAGAGAGUUAACAGUACGUGAAAUUGUCAAAGGGAAGCGUUGACACCUGUGUUGCUUUCUGAAAUCAAUUAAAGAACUGUUUAUGCUAAGUGUUUAGACUUUAUCAGCUAACUGUUUAGUUUUGAGCUUUCUUAAUGCACUUUUCAGUUAACAGUCAACAUCAAUUUCUUUGCUGUAAAAAGCUUGAGGAAGGUGGCUUGAGAUCGUCUUAAGUGUUAUAGCUCUUGCUAUCAGUCGGAGAGAUGAGGUCUGCAGCGUAGAUCCUUCGGGCUAAAUGCAUUUGUGCUAAUUAUAGCAUUUUAGACAACUUGUGACUAUGAUUUGUCUUGUAGCUUACUCGCUUAUGUUAUUUUACCUACGCUUAGGAUGUG
rnacentral:misc_RNA from 1 species